rnacentral:rRNA from 1 species
GGGGAAUAUUGCACAAUGGGCGCAAGCCUGAUGCAGCAACGCCGCGUGCGGGACGAAGGCCUUCGGGUCGUAAACCGCUUUUCUGGGGAAAGAGCAAGGACGGUACCUCAGGAAUAAGUCUCGGCUAACUACGUGCCAGCAGCCGCGGUAAAACGUAGGAGGCGAGCGUUAUCCGGAUUUACUGGGCGUAAAGCGCACGCAGGCGGCUCUGUGAGUCGGACGUGAAAGCUCCCGGCUUAACCGGGAGAGGCCGUUCGAUACUGCGGGGCUUGAGGUAGGGAGAGGAAUGCGGAAUUCCCGGUGUAGUGGUGGAAUGCGUAGAUAUCGGGAGGAACACCUGUGGCGAAAGCGGCAUUCUGGCCCUCACCUGACGCUGAGGUGCGAAAGCGUGGGUAGCAAAC